rfam:Pediococcus stilesii strain DSM 18001 Scaffold4, whole genome shotgun sequence.
GAGAAAAAGCAGAGGCCACCGCUUCUCGCCUUGUAACUAACAAGUUGCUGGGCUAAAGAACGUUGAAUGGAUUUUUAUAUCCAAUAUGAAACGGGUGGCGUGUGCCAUCCGUUUUUCUGCAUUCUC